UUCUAGCAGCUUACAUGAACUCUUCUGUCUAAACGUUCAAAAAGGGGAAGUUAUCCCUGUUCAUUUUCAAGGAGAAGAGGGGCUGUCAGCUGGCAAAAAAGUAGCACUAUGAGGUGAGCAGUCCUCUUCCGUUAAGGAAACUGAGACUUGGGAUGGAUAAAUAUUUGCCGAAGGUUCUAGAAAAGAGAACUGAGGUAAUGCAAAGGAAAAGUAUUUGGGGACUUCCAGUAGCUUCUUGAGCCAACAGAAAUACAGCCAAAUGCCGAAGCAUGGACUUCCUCGCUAAAAUCAACACAUGAAAAUGUGAGCAUUAUCCUGGAUGCCAUUGUGCUAACGCAA